rnacentral:rRNA from 1 species
AGAGUUUGAUCCUGGCUCAGAUUGAACGCUGGCGGCAGGCCUAACACAUGCAAGUCGAGCGGUAACAGGAGAAAGCUUGCUUUCUUUGCUGACGAGCGGCGGACGGGUGAGUAAUGUAUGGGGAUCUUGCCCGAUAGAGGGGGAUAACUACUGGAAACGGUGGCUAAUACCGCAUAAUGUCUACGGACCAAAGCAGGGGCUCUUCGGACCUUGCACUAUCGGAUGAACCCAUAUGGGAUUAGCUAGUAGGUGGGGUAAAGGCUCACCUAGGCGACGAUCUCUAGCUGGUCUGAGAGGAUGAUCAGCCACACUGGGACUGAGACACGGCCCAGACUCCUACGGGAGGCAGCAGUGGGGAAUAUUGCACAAUGGGCGCAAGGCUCUGAUGCAGCCAUGCUGCGUGUAUGAAGAAGCCUUAGGGUUGUAAAGUUAUUUUCAGCGGGGGAGGAAGGUGAUAAGGUUAAUACCCUUGUCAAUUGACGUUUACCCCGCAGAAGAAGCACCGGCUUAACUCUGUGCCAGCAGAGCCGCGGU